AUUAGAUGAGCCUAUAUUAGAUUAGCUAGUUGGUGGAGUAAUAGCCUACCAAGGCAAUGAUCUAUAGCUGAUCUGAGAGGAUGAUCAGCCACACUGGAACUGAGAUACGGUCCAGACUCCUACGGGAGGCAGCAGUGGGGAAUAUUGGACAAUGGGCGAAAGCCUGAUCCAGCCAUGCCGCAUGAGUGAAGAAGGCCUUUGGGUUGUAAAGCUCUUUUAGUGAGGAAGAUAAUGACGGUACUCACAGAAGAAGUCCUGGCUAACUCCGUGCCAGCAGCCGCGGUAAUACGGAGAGGGCUAGCGUUAUUCGGAAUUAUUGGGCGUAAAGGGCGCGUAGGCUGAUUAAUAAGUUAAAAGUGAAAUCCCGAGGCUUAACCUUGGAAUUGCUUUUAAAACUAUUAAUCUAGAGAUUGAAAGAGGAUAGAGGAAUUCCUGAUGUAGAGGUAAAAUUCGUAAAUAUUAGGAGGAACACCAGUGGCGAAGGCGUCUAUCUGGUUCAAAUCUGACGCUGAAGCGCGGAGGCGUGGGGAGCAAACAGGAUUAGAUACCCUGGUAGUCCACGCUGUAAACGAUGAAUGUUAAAUAUGGGAAG
rnacentral:rRNA from 1 species